rnacentral:rRNA from 1 species
CCUAGGGGAGGCAGCAGUGAGGAAUAUUGGUCAAUGGGCGGGAGCCUGAACCAGCCAAGUCGCGUGAGGGAAGACGGUCCUACGGAUUGUAAACCUCUUUUGCCGGGGAGCAACGGGGUCCUUGCGAGGGCCCGAUGAGAGUACCCGGAGAAAAAGCAUCGGCUAACUCCGUGCCAGCAGCCGCGGUAAUACGGAGGAUGCGAGCAUUAUCCGGAUUUAUUGGGUUUAAAGGGGGCGCAGGCGGAGGUGCAAGUCAGCGGUCAAAUUGCGGGGCUCAACCCCGUACUGCCGUUGAAACUGCAUCCCUUGAGUGCGCGAGAAGUAUGCGGAAUGCGUGGUGUAGCGGUGAAAUGCAUAGAUAUCACGCAGAACUCCGAUUGCGAAGGCAGCAUACCGGCGCGCAACUGACGCUCAUGCACGAAAGCGUGGGUAUCGAACAGGAUUAGAUACCCUAGUAGUC